UGGUGGGAUCCAUGCCUGGUUCAUUUUAAUAAAGAUGAGCUUGUCCACGUUGGCCGUGGACAGGCGGCUGCGCUUGUCUGUGAUAACCUUGUGCGGAUCGCACGUCCCCGUGACGGCGACAACGCAUUCGGAUGUCUGCCCUAUCAACUUUCGUGCUAUUUUCCGCGACUACCAUGUUUAGGGUUCGAUUCCAGAGAGGGAACCUGAGAAACGGAUACCACAUGCAAAGAAGUCAGCAGGCGCGCAAAUUACCCACUCCCGACGCGGGGAGGUAAUGA